rnacentral:lncRNA from 10 species
CUCCAGACUGGCUCUGCCUCACCCUCAAACUCCAACCCACAUCCCCAGCGGCUGCCAAAGGUCUCUGCUGCUUGUCCCACGGUCGGUCCAGCCUAUGCAGCCUUUGCCCUCCUUCCCCAGACCUCAUUUCCAAAUGGAAAAUCUUGGCAUUGGAUGUGGCCUUCAGAGACACAGCCUUGCUCUGUUGCCCAAGCUGGGGUACAGUGGUAUGAUCAUAGCUCACUGCCACCUUGAACUCCUGAGAUCAAGCGAUCCUCCUGCCUCGGCUUCCAACUAGCUAGAACUACACACUUGUCACCCCAUAUGGCUAAUUUUUAAUUUUUUUUUUAAGAGCCGGGGUCUUGUUAUGUUGCCCAGGCUGGUCUUGAGCUCCUGGUCUCAAGUGAUUCUCCUGCUUCAGCCUCCCAAAGUGCUGGGAUUAUAGGUGUGAACCACUGCUCCUAGCUUUCAUCAGUUUCUUGAAGUCCAGAUCAUCCAUAAAACAAUAAAUCAAGCCCUGCUUUGUGGUGUUUGCUGAUUUCCACGGUGUAAAGACUUCUACUAUGGCCAGUUUAAAACAACAUGAUGUCACUAACCCUGAAGUGGGGAAGAGAUGCACAGGAGCACACAAGCACAUACUAUUUUCACUAUAAAGUUACAAUAGAUAUAAAUAACCCCAAGAGCACGGAUCAUAGGAGAAUAAUUAGAAAGUGAUGAUUUUUAAGAAUUACUAACUUUUGUUUUUAAUAUAAUUUAUUUGAUUGUAAAUUUAUAUGAUUUGAUUUUUAAUGGUAGAUGUAUUUAACAACCCACUGACACUUUUUUUUUUUUGGAAAAUUGAACUAUUGACCUUUGCAAGCUGGUAUGAACGACCUCCAGCAUAGACACUGAAUGGGAUAAAAUAAUGCAAGACCUAAUACAUUUUAGUUACUCAAAAUAAUUUAGCUAUUAUUGUUAGUAGUAGUAGUAGUGAUAGUGAUACUACAUAAGUAGUAUUUUAACACUACUUCUUACCCACUAAGAGAUAUCUGCCCUGUAACAUGUUGAUUUAGUCACAAAUUGUGACUAAUUUUCUUCAUUUGUGAAAUGGAGUUCACAAUCCUGUCUCUAUUUCCUAGAAGUCUCAGUGAAAUGUAUGGAAACACUUUGGGAAUGCUAUGUGUCUGGAAACUGGGUAGGGCCAGGUAAAGCCACAGAGACAGCAGCAAGUAUAGGCAGCUUAUACUUGUGAUGUGUGUGUGUAUGUGUGUACAAAUACUUUUAAGAUAUUGAGAUAAAAUGUCAAACACUGGAGUGCACACAUCUGAAGUCUACAAUUUGGGCUUUGACAAGUGUGUGACUGAUAACAUUUCCAUCACUGUAGGGGGUUCCCUAAUGCCCUUUUCCAGUUCAGUCCUUCCACUCCCACCAUAGGCUAUGAAUGUUCUUAUUUUUGUCAACAUAGAUCCAUUUUGUCUGUUUUUGAACUUAAUAUACAAUCAUCCAUCAUUUAACAACGGAGAAUUGCUCUGAGCAAUACAUUGGUAGGUGAUUUUGUUAUUGCGUGAACAUUACAGAGUGUACUUACACAAACCUGUAUGGUAUAGCCUACUACAUACACACCUAGGCUAUCUGGUAUAGCCUAUUGCUUCUAGGUUACAAACAUGUAGUGCACGUAUACUGUACUGAAUGCCACAGGCAAUUGUAACAUAGUGGUAUUUGUGCAUCCAAACAUAGCUAAAUAUAGGAAAGGUACAGUGAAAAUAUGAAAUAAUCUUACGAAACCAUCAUCAUUGACUGAGACAUCAUUAUACAGUGCAUGACUGUAAAUGCAGUCAUACAUGUGUAAUCUUUUAUGUCUGGCUUAGUUUGCCCAACAUUAUGUUAUUGAAUCCAUCCAUAUUUAGCAUGUAUCAGUAGUUCUUUAGUUUUGCUUGCUGAGUAUCCCACUUGUAAUUCACUUAUUAAUGGACAUUGGGGUGGUUUCCAGUUUGGGGCUAUUAUAACUAAAAUUUCUAUGAGCAUUCUUACACAUGUAUUUGGGGGACCACAUAUAUUUUCAUCUCCUUUGGGUAAAUACUACCUACGAGUAGAAUUGCUUGGUCAUUGGUAAGAUUUACUUCAGACACCUACCUAGGGUGGUUGUACUAAUUUAUAUACCCACUAUCAAUGUGUGGGACUUCUGGCUGCUCCAGAUUUCUGCCAAUAUUUAGUGUUGUCAGUGUUUUUAAUUUUAGUUAUUAUCGUGGGUGUGUAGAAGUAUCUCAUGUGGUUAUAAUUUGUAUUUCCUUGAAGACCAAUAACAUUGAGCAAUUUUUUGCAAGUGUAUUCUAUGACAUUUACAUAUGUUCCUUCAUUAAGUGCCUAUUCAAAUUUGUGCUUAUUGUUUAUUGAAUUGUUAAUAUCUGUUAUUAUUGAGUUGUAGGACUUCCUUAUAUAUCAUAAUUUUUAGCCUUUCAUCAAGGAUUUGUUUUGCAAAUAUUUUCUCCCAGACCAUGGCUUGCCUAUUAAUAUUAUUAACAAGACCUUUUGAUGACCAUUUAAAAAAGUUGAUGGAUUCUAAGUUAUUAUUUUUUCUCUAUUGUUAUUGUUGUUUAUAUCUUAUCUAAUGAAUUUUUGCCUACCCCCCAGGUAGUGAAGAUAGUCUUCUGUGCUUUUUUUCUACAUUUUUAUAGUUUUAGCUUUUACAUUUAAGUCUAUGAUCUAUCUCAAUUUGUGUACGGUGUGAGGUAGGGGUUAAAGUUCCCUUUCCACCUUCUAUUUAUACAGUUGUUUCAGCACUAUUUGUUGAGAAAACUUCUUUCUUUAAGUUGCCUGGAUGACUUUCUUGAGAAUCAAAUGAUUGUAUAUGUGUGAAUCUUCUUCUGGUCUCUCUAUUCUAUUCUAUUGAUCAAUUUUUCUAUACUUUUCAUUACUAUACUAUUUUGGUUAUUAUGGCUUUAUAGGAAAUCUUGAAAUCAAAUCAUAUGAAUGCUUCAAUUUUGUCUUUUUUCUCUCUCAAAAUUGUUUUGGCUAUUCAAGCUCCUUUGAAUUUUGAUGUAAAUUUAGGAAUCAACUUGUAAAUCUAUACAAAAAUAAACUUUCUGGGAUUUUGAUUGAGACUGUCUUGAAUAUUUAUAUUAAUUCUGGGACAAUGGACAUCUUAACAACAUUGAGCUUUCAAUCUAUGAACAUGGUAUAUCUAUUUAUUGAGGCCUGAUUUCAUUCCCCACAGCAAAGUUUUUUAGUUUUUGGUGUGGAGUUUUGUUCAUAUGUUGUUACAUUUAUUCCUUAUUAUGUUUUAUAUAUUAUGGCAAUGGUAUAAUUUUUAAAUUUAUUUACAAUAGUAGUAUUUUAUUUACUAUUAUAUACAAAUAUAAUUGUUUUUUGUAUAUUAACCUUGUUUCCUGCAAUCUUAUUCAAUCCACCUCUUAGUUUGAAUAGUAUUUUUGGUAGGUUGCUUAGGAUUUUUCUAUCUAAACAAUCAUUGUCUAAGGCAGCUCAGGCUGUCAAAACAAAAUACCAUAAACUGGGUGGCUCAAACAACAGACAUUGGCUGGGUGCCAUGGCUCAGGCCUGUAAGGCCAGCACUUUGGGAGGCCAAGGUGAGUGGAUCACCUGAGGUCAGGAGUUCAAGGCUAGCCUGGUCAACAUGUUGAAACCCUGUCUCUACUAAAAAUGCAAAAAUUAGCCAGGCAUGGUGGUGCACCUCUAUAAUCCCAGCUACUCAAGAAGCUGAGUGGGAGAAUUGCUUGAACCUGGCAGGCAGAGGUUGCAGUGAGCCAAGAUGGUGCCACUGCCUUCCAGCCUGGGCAACAGAGCAAGACUCCGUCAAACAAAAACAAAAACAAAAACAAGAAAACCUAGACAUUUAUUUCUCAGUUCUGGAGGCUGGUAACUGUAUCACCAGAUUUGGUUCUUGGUGAGGGCCCUCUUUCUGGCUUGCAAAUGACUACCUUCUCUUUGUAGCUUCACAUGGCAGAGAGAGGACACUGAUAUUUCUUCCUCUAAGAAGUGGUGGCAGUACUUAUAUGGGUACUAAUCCCAUCAUAAGGGCUUCACCGUCCUGAGCUCAUCUAAAUCUAAUUACCUCACAAAAGUCUCACCUCCUAAUACUAUCACAUUGGGGGGUUGAAGCUUCAACAUAGCCUCCUCCUCCUGAGGAGGAGACAUAAAUAUUUAGUCAAUAAUAAUAAUGUAAUCUAGAAAUAAAUGUAACUAUUUCUUCUUGAUAUUUAUGGCUUUCAAUUAGUUUUCCUCUUCUUUAAAAAAAAAUGUUUUUUAAGCCUACAGCACCCGGUAUUCCCUUGAAGUCUCCCAUCCAAGCACUAACCAGGCCUGACCCUGCUUAGGUUCAUAAGAUCAGAUGAGAUAGGGCAUAUUC